rnacentral:lncRNA from 1 species
CUGAACCUGCUAUUAGGAAGCUUCAAACCGUUAAUUCAUAUAUAUAGUCUCCCUAAUACCAAAAAUUAAUAGUCUUUCGAAAACACAUGUUUAAGGCAUAAUUCAUCUCUUCCCAAUAAGUACGUAGUUCAUAAUCUUUAUACGUACAUAAUAGAGACGGUAAUGAUAAAAAAAAAAAAAAAAACAAUGGAGAUUACUAAACACAAUUCUUCUAACUAAAUUGACUAUAUUUGCAAUGCUCUUUUCAUGGUUGUCGAUGAGAAUAAAGUGCAUGCGUGAGUGAAAUCUGACUGUUGUACAUAGAAAAUUUAUCUCUAGAAAGUGGUUGUCCAGCCCACUUAGUGAAAUCUGAUUUUCGUAAAAUCGUG